rnacentral:sRNA from 1 species
GUAUGAUUUGUAUGUACAUCACUUUGGAUAAAACGGUCUGCUAAAUGACAUUCU